rnacentral:rRNA from 1 species
AGUCAUAUGCUUGUCUUAAGGAUUAAGCCAUGCAAGUCUAAGUAUAAGUAUUUAAUAGCGAAACUGCGAAUGGCUCAUUAAAACAGUUAUAGUUUAUUUGAUAAUCAAUAUAUGGAUAACUUUAGGAAAUCUAGAGCUAAUACAUGCCUAACGCCCGAUGCUUUGCUGACGGCCGUAUUUAUUAGAUAUAAACCUCUCGGUGCAAGCCGUUUAGAUGAUUCAUAAUAACUUCUCUGACCACCUCACGGUGGUAGAUCAUUCAAGUUUCUGCCCUAUCAGCUUUAGAUGGUAGUGUAUUGGACUACCAUGGCGAUCACGGGUAACGGAGAAUUAGGGUUCGAUUCCGGAGAGGGAGCCUGAGAAACGGCUACCACUUCUAUGGAAGGCAGCAGGCGCGUAAAUUACCCAAUCCUGACUAAGGGAGGUAGUGACAAGAAAUAUCGAAUCGGGUGUUGAUACACUGCGAGUUUGAAAUGAGAACAACCUAAAAAACUUAACGAGGAGCGAU